UUCCUGGUGGUCUAAUAGCUAAGACUCCAUGCUUCCAAUGCAGGGCGCCUGGGUUUGAUCCCUGGUCAGGAAA
rnacentral:tRNA from 1 species